rnacentral:rRNA from 1 species
UACGGAGGGUGCAAACGUUGCUCGGAAUCAUUGGGCGUAAAGCGCACGUAGGCGGCCUGUUAAGUCGGACGUGAAAGCCCUGGGCUCAACCCAGGAAGUGCAUUCGAAACUAGCAGGCUUGAAUAUGGAAGAGGGUCGCGGAAUUCCCGGUGUAGAGGUGAAAUUCGUUGAUAUCGGUAGGAACACCAGUGGCGAAGGCGGCGACCUGGGCCAAUAUUGACGCUGAGGUGCGAAAGCGUGGGGAGCAAACAG